rnacentral:lncRNA from 1 species
GACAUUUCCAAUUGGUGUAAAUGUCAUCUGUUUCUUCAAAACUAGAACAGAAGAUUGAAAUAAUCUGAAGUAUUUUGGGAGUAAUGAUAUCUUUAAGGCAUCUCUUUUUUUCUUUAGCACACUGAAUCUAGUUUAUCCCUGGUGUUCCUUCCAGCUAGACACCACUAAAUUUAAUGAGAGCCUGCACUGGCACCUGACAUCCUUGUUAUGUUGCCUGGGAAGGAAGAUAGAAAUGUCAUGGUGAGGUUACCAGCUGAUUAAAUCAAAAUGCUAGACAGUUGCAUAAUCUCAUGCAUCUCAGUAACAGCAGCAAAUACCACCAUCACAAGCCAAGAGAAAAGUGUGGAAGUGUGGAGAUGGAUGCCAAAGGCAAUAGUGGAUUCUUUCUGGAAAGCUUUGAAAAAGAUUCAUUAUGCUCCAACCUGAGACUGCUCUAAAGGAUGACAAGACUUCAWUGACAAUAAAGUUCACAGCAUUCACA